rnacentral:lncRNA from 1 species
GAAGGAAGAAGAAGAGCCCUCCUAGAGGCCAUGUUGGCUCUGCCACUGGAGACAUGCAACCAACAAAGGCCAUGGGGCACUAGCAUGGUUGUCAUGUUGACGUGAUUCUCUCGCUGUGCCACAUUGUUAUUUCAAUUGGCAAAGUACAUUUAUGUUUAGGUAAAGUACAUAAUCACAUAGUAAUACUUACUACUUAGUAUAGCCAGCCUUUUCAUUAAAAAAAAGAUGUGUCUCCUUGCCAAACUUUUGAGAUUUGCUUUUCUCACAAUCACUUCCUAAAAUCGUUGGAUCUACAUCCAAGGGUUUAUAUUCACCCUUUCUUUCCUUCUCUCUUCUUUCAUUUCUCCCCUCUAUCAGUCCGUCUUCCUUGCGGCAUCUUCCUCACAGGGCUCGUGGCACCUGAGUCGUACGACUCCCCCCCCCCCCCCCGCACGCAACCUCCGCUUGGCUCCGGCGGCCUUGGCCACCUCCUCUGCCGCUCGACGCUAAUCUGUUUGGCCCAUACUCCCCCGCCGCAUUCGCCGCCCACCGAGGAUCCCCCACCGCCCAGCUCUAUCGGCGCCCACGCCGCCUCCGCUCUGUCGCCGUCUCUCCCACCUCCACCGCCGGCCGGCGAGCCUCCCCGGAG